rnacentral:lncRNA from 1 species
CCUUGAACAAUGUUGAAACCAUAACAAAAAUGGCUGAAGUAUAUCUUUUACUACAGGACUUGAUAACACAAACAGAAGAUGACAGCAUUGAUAAGCUUUAUCAGAUUCACAAGAGUGUCUCAAAAAGAAAGCUAGUUUUCUCAGUUGUAUCAUGCUUGGCAGCUAAACGUAGACACAUCGCCAGGGUGGAAAAUUAUGUUGAAAAUGUUAUCC